GGCUGAUGCCUCGUCUCAUGAAUAUUCAUAAGCGGCAUAGAGCUGCAUGCGGCCUCACCCUCGGUCGGUUGCUAGACGAGUCUGUUAUCUUUCAGCGACUUUAUCAUCGGUUUCCUUGGACUUUGCCGGACGUUUUUUCGGAUCUAAGGGAAGACAAAUAUCAGCAACGGUCACAUUAUCCGGUUGCGACCUGGUUACACGUUUGAUUGACGUCUGCAAGCCACGCCCUCGCUUUAAAUUGACCUGCGCUUUCAGAAACUCUUUAGUGAAGCGCACAAGUAACCUGAGCACUCUCUGAACACGAUUUAUAGAGGAUAAACCCUCCAUUAGAUUUAUCUGGACCGUCCAGCCCUAUCUGCUCUUCGUUCUACCUCUGAUCCAACCCCUCCGGGUCAAUAAAACCGCAAAAAUGAUGCAAAUCUGCGAUUCCUACAACCAAAAAAACUCCCUCUUCAAUUCCAUGAACCGGUUUAUUGGUGCUGUGAACAACAUGGACCAGACGAUUAUGGUGCCAAGUUUGCUGAGGGACGUCCCAUUGGACCAAGAAGGAGAGAAAGAGGUGAGCUCCUUCCAGGACGGAGACAUGUACGGCUCUUAUGUGCUCCUCAAAUCAAUUAGGAACGAUAUCGAAUGGGGUGUACUUCAAGGCGACGAGAGGCGCAAGGAAAAGCACGGCGUGACGACGGCCCUGGAGACGUCUCGCAUUGAACCCAACGAUGAGGACUUGGAGAAGCUGUUUCAAUUUCAUCUAAACGGACUGCACACGGUCCUGUCCAAGCUCACCCGAAAAGCCAACACGUUGACAAACCGGUACAAGCAAGAGAUUGGUAUCGGCGGCUGCGGGAAUUGAAAUGAACUGGAGUUUACUCCAUCCAUCACCGGUGGACCGCAAAAAAAGUUCACAAGGGGGUGCAGCAGGGGCUGAAGCCAAAUGGGCCCCUGGUGGCUUCUGUGCAUCUUAAAUUCCCCGGAUUGGAAAAAAGACUUGUACUCGAUGCCGGUUUACAAGUACCCUUGAUUCCCCUGCUAAUAUCCCUUGAUAUUGUUUGCACAACCUGGAUGCUGGCUUGGAAACAGGCUUCUGAAAUUAAAUGCGACUUAAGCAAGCAGGGCAACAAUAAUAAUAAUAAAAAGACAUUUCAUUGGUCGUUAUGGUAGUUUUGGCGGUGUAUUAAUGUAGAUUAUAACAGGCUGGGCUGAGAAUUAUUAACACUAAUUAUGUAUAAAACGCACAUUUCUACACUGAAAAGCCGCUGGUACUUGGUGACGUCAGUCGUUGAUGGAAUCAUAUGAUGGGUCUUUAUGGAUGUUGACAGAUUCCUGGAGAUUACGUCACAGUUACUGUUGGUAAAUGUCUUGGAGGAAAGUUGUGUAAUGCAGUUGUUUUUCUAUCACAAAGAUGGUUCUGAAAAUAAACCUUUUGUAACCGCAACCCUACUGAUGUGACUCUUUACUCCAUGCAAGUGUUUGACUCAUGAUUAACGGUGAAUCAUUGCCUUCUGGGAUGUCCUUGCAAAAUAGCACUUUACAGAAGUGUACUUGCCUUAUCGUGCUUGGCAAACAUUGGUCUGUGUUGGCGCGCGCAGCUGCUGCUGAGGUCCGCAAAGGGAUCAGGCACGUUAUAUUAAGACCUGGCAACAUCUGAACGAGCCGGGCACCUGCAGUGCAUUUUUCCGUUUCUCACUGCUGAGUCACUGCUUGAGCUGCACUUAAUGACGGACGUCUCUAAGCCAGUUUAAUAGGCCUAAAGGCACUACUGUAAGAAAAAAGCCUUUUUAAAUAAAGGAAUAGGUUGCUGAUGCCUGUGUGGCCAGCUGACGGUUUUCUGAGGCAUCCUGUCAAACUGAAAUGAUCUGCUCUUUGGAGACGUAGUAAAGAUAAGCCCUACAAUAUCUCUUGUUUAAAAAGAAUCUAGCUUGAUUUGUCUUCAAGUUAAAAAUCUUGUAUUCUGAUCAAAUCUACAGUUUGAAGUUUUUGUCUGGUGUUAUCAUCAAACGGUAAGCACUUGGUGAACGUAAUAAAACAUUUUAAAUGAUGUGCAGAUGCACACAAAACAAAUUUACAUUUAAGAUUUGGUCUGGUUUUGAUGUAAAAAACAAACAAACAAAUAAACAAAACAUUGAUUUUGCUUAAAUUGUAAAUCUUUAAGAUUAAAAAAAUGUGAGACACUCACUUGAACUAGUCAGGUUCUACUUAAUGAUCUUUACACUGAUUCAAUAUCAAAUGUAGUGUAAACUAAAUGUAAAGAGUAUGCACACAAGACUAAAUUGCAUUUAAAGUUCUACAUUUCACACCAGAACAUAAAUGGACUAUUUAGGUUUUGCUUAAAUUGUUAAAGAAUUGUACUCUGAUAAAAUCAGAAAUCGUAAGGUUUAACGUAAAGUGAACUGUAUGACAUAAAGGUCAAAUGAAAAAAGUUGAUUUUUACAUCACCAUUUUGGACUGUUACAAGGUUUUGAUUAAAAUAAUCUAACUGAUAAAAUAAUAAAUAUGAAGUUUAAACAAAAGCAUAUAAUUAAAAUACAUUUAGAUUUUGGUCUAGGAUUGACACCAAAACAUAAACAGUUUGUAAAGAGGUUUUAUUUAAACUGUUAAAGAUCUCGACACUGAUAAAAUGGCAAAGUGUAAACAGACAUUACAUUUGACAUAUGUUUUUGUCUGGUUUUGACAUCCAAACAUAUACUGUAAAUGGACUGUAAUCUUGUUUCUGUGACCUUUUCUUGAUGAAAGACCAGUACUUUACAUCACAUUAUUUGGUUAUGAAGUAUCAUGAAAGUAAAUCGGUAAACACUCUUUUUUUUUUUUAGCAGGUGUCACUACUAAAAAGGUCACUUGCCUAGUCGGUAUGUCCUUAAUAAAUCAAUGCAUAAAUAUUGUUGACAGACUAGUUAUUUGCAGUCUCAAGUUGUUCUAAAUAUAGACAUUACUGGGUCCAAAACAAAUUUAUCGUUUAACUAUUUGGCUGGAGCAUUACAGGUAGAGGUAUAUUGACUUUGCAUAACACAGUUCAUUAUAGACCCAAAGUUCUGCUAAGUUCUUUCAAUCUGCACACUGUAUGGUAAAAAAAAAAAAAAAAUGUUUUUAUUUUAUUUUAUACAUUUCAGCUGUGUCUGUUAUCUAAGAGCCAAACAAUCUACAAUUUGCUCUUUGAACUCCAUGUAUCUUGUAGCUGGUCUGAACUAGUAGACAAACUGACCUUUAGUACUGAUGGAUCCAUAAUAGUUCUAUCCUUGAUAAAACAUGACACCACAGAUAAAGCUGGUUUGAGGUGGGUAUCACAUGACUCAACUUUCCAUUGUAUUUCCAGCAAUAUUCCUAGUCUAAACCCUCCUGGUUGACAUUUUUCUCUCGUCUUCCUUAUCGCGCCCUAAUUAGGGAUGCUGGGAGAACUAUACAGGAAAGGAGGCCAUCAGUUGGAUUUGCUGAUCUAGCGUUUCUCAACUCCGACUGUUUGUCUGCCAUCUAGCUGAUGUAAGACCAGCCCGUGGCAUGACAUCCUGAAACUUCCAGGCAGUACGAUGAAGUUUUGGAGGAUCGUAAGACCACCGGUGUAGGAUAUGAGGAGCCGCAGCACGAC